AACGUAGGACACAAGCGUUAUCCGGAGUUACUGGGCGUAAAGGGCGUUUAGGCGGGUGAUUAAGUUCGCUAUGAAAGCGCCAGGCUAAACCUGGCGAGGCUGGCGGAUACUGGUCAUCUGGAGUAAGGAAGAGGGAGGUAGAAUUCCGCGUGUAGCAGUGAAAUGCGUAGAGAUGUGGAGGAACACCGAUGGCGAAGGCAGCCCCCUGGGUCAAGAUUGACGCUCAUGCACGAAAGCGUGGGGAGCAAACAGG
rnacentral:rRNA from 1 species